UGAAAAGAUCUUAAAGGAAAUGAAAAGUGCUACUCCAGUGAACACAUGAAUGAUAAGAAAGCAAAGCAGCCUUAUUGCUAAUAUGGAGACAGUUUAGUGGUCUGGCUAGAAGAUCAAAGCAGCCACAACAUACCCUUGAGCCAAAACCUAAUCCAGAGCAACAUCCUAACUCUCUCGUCAAUUCUAUGAAGGCUGAGAGAGAUGAAGCUAUAGAAGAAAAAUGUGAAGCUAGGAGAGGUUAGUUCACAAGGUUUAACAAAAGAAGCUGUCUCUGUAACAGAAAAGUGUAAAGUGAAGCAGCAAGUGCUGAUGUAGAAGCUGCAGCAAGCUAUGCAGAAGAUCUAGAUUAGAUCAUUGAUGAAGGCGGGGCUACACUAAAUAACAGAUUUUUAACAUAGACAAAACAGCCUUCUCUUGGAAGAAAAUGUCAUCUAGGACUUUUAUAGCUAGAGAGAAGUCAAUGAAUGGCUUCAAAGCUUCAGUGAACAGGCUGACUCUCUUGUUAGGGGCUAAUGGAACUGGUGACUUUAAGUUGAAACCAGUGCUCAUUUAGCAUUCCAAAAAAUAUGAGCGUCCUUCGUAAUUAUGCUAUAUCUACUGUGCCUGUGCUCAAAACACCAAAGCAUGGAUGACAGCACCUCUGUUUACAGCACGGAUUACUGAAUAUUUUAAGCCCACCGUUGACAUCAAUUGCUUAGAAAAAAAGAUCCAUUUCAAAAUAUUACUGUUCAUUGAUAAUGCACCUAGUCACCCAGGACCUCUGUUGAAGAUAUAUAAAGAGAUUAAUAUUUAACAUAUAAUAUUAAAUAAAUAUCUUAUUAUUUAAGAAAUACAUUUUGUGGGGCUAUACCUUACAUAGUUAUUCUUCUGAUGGAUCCGAGGAAAGUAAAAACUUUCUGGAAAAGAUUCACCAUUCUAGAUGCCAUUAAGAACAUUUGUGAUUCAUGGGAAGAAGUAAAAACAGCAACAUUAAAAAGAGUUUGGAAGAAGUUGAUUCCAACCCUCAUGGAUGACUUGGAAGGGUUCAAGACUCCAGUAGAGGAAAUCACAGCAGAUGUGGUAGAAAUAACAAGAGAGCUAGAAUUAGAAGUGGAGCCUGAAGAUGUGACUGGAUUGCCACAAUCUCAUAAGAAAACUUGAACAGUUGAGGAGUUGCUUCUUAUGGAAGAGCAAAGAAAGUGUUCUUUUGAGAUGGAAAUGACAACAAAGGAUUUAGAUAUUACACAAACUUAGUUGAAAAAGCAUCGGCAGGUUUUGAGAAGACUGACUCAAAUUUUGAAAGAAGUCCUACUGUGGGUAAAAUGUUAUCAAACAGCAUUGCAUGCUACAGAUAAAUCUUUUGUGAAAGGAAGAGUUUGUUAGUGUGGCAAGCUUCACUGGUAUAUUAUUUUAAGAAAUUACCAGAACCACCUCAGCCUCCAGCAAACACCAUCUUGAUUUAUCAGCAGCCAUCAACAUUGAGGCAAGACCUUCUACUAGCAAAAACAUUACGACUUACUGAAGAUUCAGAUGAUCGUUAGCAUUUUUUAGCAAUAUAGUAUUUUUAAGGUAUGUACAUUGUUUUUUAGACAUAAUGUUAUUGCACAAUUACUAGACUAUAGUAUAGUGUGUCCAUAACUUUUAUAUGUACUGGGCAACCAAAAAAUUUGUGUGACUUGCUUAAUUGCAAUAUUUAUUAUAUUGUAGUGGUCUAGAAUGGAACCUGCAGUAUCUCUGAGGUAUAACUAUACUUCAUGUUUAGAGUUUUAUUUUAUUUUCUAAUUGACAUAUAAUAAUUAUACAUAUCUAUGGGAUACAUAGUGAUGUUUCAAUACAUAAACUAUAUAGUGAUCAAUCAGCUUAAUUAUAUGUAUCACACAUCAUCUCAAACAUUUAUUUAUUUUUGUUAGGAACAUUCAAUAUUAUUCUAGCUAUUUGAAACUAUAUAAUAUACUAUUGUUAACUAUCAUCAUUCUAAAGUAGAACACUAGCACUGUCAAUCUGUUUUCUCACUAGGAUGGAUAAUGCAUCUGUAAACCUGAAACGUACCCAUUCUCCUUGAAGGCAAAUGUUAGGGCAUCUGCCUUAACUUUGGCAUAAAGAUGUUCACUGAUCCUGGCUUACUGGACUUUAAUCCAGUACUAAUGACUUGAAGCACACUGUGAACUACAAACAUAUUUUCAUUCAUCAUGGCAGAUGCUCUUUGAGACUUGCAUUGUGAGGACAGAAGUUCAAUUAAUGUGUUUCCCAUUUGUUCUUCUGACAGAUAGAGGCCAAAUGACACAAUGGGAAGAUCUUCAACUAAGUGUCAAGAAAAAAAACUAGUGUUCUAGUGUUCUAGAGUCCUCUUUGCCACUUAAAAUAGCCUUGUGACUAUAAGUGUGUCAUCCAUCAUCUUGGAGGUUCAGAAAUGGAAAGGAAAGACAUUUUGUAAGUGGCAUAGCAUAAAUGUCGAUAGAAUCCUGGCUUUGUCACUCCAACUUAGGUGACCACUAAACCAUCUGUUUCCAUUUUCUCUUUCACUUAUUUAAUAUACAUUUAGUGGUUAGCAUAAACUGACACUGUAUUAAAUAAGUAAAAAAUGAAAUAAAUGGUUGUUGUCU
rnacentral:lncRNA from 1 species